GGGCGUUUGUGCAGGUGGGAGGCUCCCCGUUCGACUCGGAUCGACCUAGAUCGACUCUCCUGCUUUGCUUCACACCGAAGAGGCCACUGGUUCGAACCCAGUAUCGCCCA
rnacentral:tRNA from 1 species